rnacentral:rRNA from 1 species
GACGAACGCUGGCGGCGUGCUUAACACAUGCAAGUCGAGCGGUAAGGCCCUUUCGGGGGUACACGAGCGGCGAACGGGUGAGUAACACGUGGGUGACCUGCCCUCAGCUCUGGGAUAAGCCUGGGAAACCGGGUCUAAUACUGGAUAUGACUCCAUGACGCAUGUUGUGGGGUGGAAAGCCUUGUGCGGCUGAGGAUGGGCCCGCGGCCUAUCAGCUUGUUGGUGGGGGUGAUGGCCUACCAAGGCGACGACGGGUAGCCGGCCUGAGAGGGCGACCGGCCACACUGGGACUGAGACACGGCCCAGACUCCUACGGGAGGCAGCAGUGGGGAAUCUUGCGCAAUGGGCGAAAGCCUGACGCAGCGACGCCGCGUGAGGGAUGACGGCCU